rnacentral:lncRNA from 1 species
AAAUCUGACCCAGCAAUUAUGACUCCACAGUAGGCUCAGCCUCAUCUCUACAGCACAUCCCCAGGCACCAGGUGCAGGAGGAUCCUAGAGUGUCCCUCGCUGGUUAAAGAUCCCCCCUUUCAAGUAAUGUGGCAAAAAGGAGCGACGUAAGGCUCAGAAACAGGAUGUGACCCACGGGAUCUGGAAGUCAUGGGGCUGCAGUGUGAGUCCAGAUACACAAGCAUUUCUAAUCCUGCUCUACAAGACACCUCCCUUCCUUAACUGUAUCAUCUAUACAAAUGAGGUGCCACUGAUGGCUUCCAAGUUUCCACAGGCUGGCCACUAAAACGCAGACUUCGUCCCUCUGAAGGUAAGUCCAGUAAGAAAGAUACGAUUUGCACACACCCAAAAGAAAUUUUUGCCACAUAGCUGAAUUGGGUGGGAAGUAAGUGCCUUUAUACUAACCUUUGCUGGGAGCCAUCAGUCCUCCUCAUGCUGAGCAGGCUCUGCCCAGAGCCUGGAGGCACUGAAGAGCAAGCAAGAUGGGCAGUGAGUACUGCUGGUUGCCUGUGAAAGGGGAUGGCAGGUGCAGCUCUGCUGACUCCCUCGGAGGCCCUGCCAUUGCUUGUAGCUCAGGCAGGGCAGCUUCCUACC